rnacentral:rRNA from 1 species
CCUACGGGAGGCAGCAGUGGGGGAUAUUGCACAAUGGGGGAAACCCUGAUGCAGCGACGCCGCGUGGGUGAAGAAGUAUUUCGGUAUGUAAAGCCCUAUCAGCAGGGAAGAAAGAAGACGGUACCUGACUAAGAAGCCCCGGCUAACUACGUGCCAGCAGCCGCGGUAAUACGUAGGGGGCGAGCGUUAUCCGGAUUCACUGGGUGUAAAGGGAGCGUAGACGGCCGUGCAAGCCAGGAGUGAAAGCCCGGGGCCCAACCCCGGGACUGCUCUUGGAACUGUGCGGCUGGAGUGCGGGAGGGGCAGGCGGAAUUCCUGGUGUAGCGGUGAAAUGCGUAGAUAUCAGGAGGAACACCGGCGGCGAAGGCGGCCUGCUGGACCGCGACUGACGUUGAGGCUCGAAAGCGUGGGGAGCGAACAGGAGUAGAUACCCGGGUAGUC